UUUUUGCCUUUUUUUUGUUGCAGAAUCCGGAUUUAUCUCAAGCUCCGCUGUGACCUCCCCCCCAAAAGCCACGCCAUCAACGUCCGGCUGCAGCUCCCGGUGCCCAAAGGCGUCUCCAGCCUGUGGCAGGAGCUGAGCAGCCCCGAGCAAUCGGCCGAGCUGGAUUUGCCUUCCCGGAGCAUCCGCUGGGAAAUUCCCAAA